rnacentral:rRNA from 1 species
GGACGGGUGAGUAAUGCCUAGGAAAUUGCCUUGAUGUGGGGGAUAACCAUUGGAAACGAUGGCUAAUACCGCAUAAUGCCUACGGGCCAAAGAGGGGGACCUUCGGGCCUCUCGCGUCNAGAUAUGCCUAGGUGGGAUUAGCUAGUUGGUGAGGUAAUGGCUCACCAAGGCGACGAUCCCUAGCUGGUCUGAGAGGAUGAUCAGCCACACUGGAACUGAGACACGGUCCAGACUCCUACGGGAGGCAGCAGUGGGGAAUAUUGCACAAUGGGCGAAAGCCUGAUGCANCCAUGCCGCGUGUAUGAAGAAGGCCUUCGGGUUGUAAAGUACUUUCAGUUGUGAGGAAGGGGGUANNGUUAAUANCGCUAUCUCUUGACGUUAGCAACAGAAGAAGCACCGGCUAACUCCGUGCCAGCAGCCGCGGUAAUACGGAGGGUGCGAGCGUUAAUCGGAAUUACUGGGCGUAAAGCGCAUGCAGGUGGUUCAUUAAGUCAGAUGUGAAAGCCCGGGGCUCAACCUCGGAACUGCAUUUGAAACUGGUGAACUAGAGUACUGNAGAGGGGGGUAGAAUUUCAGGUGUAGCGGUGAAAUGCGUAGAGAUCUGAAGGAAUACCAGUGGCGAAGGCGGCCCCCUG